UAGGGAAUAUUGGUCAAUGGACGCAAGUCUGAACCAGCCAUGCCGCGUGCAGGAUGAAGGCGCUCUGCGUUGUAAACUGCUUUUGUACGGGAAGAAUAUAUCGUUUGCGAACGGUUUUGACGGUACCGUAAGAAUAAGGAUCGGCUAACUACGUGCCAGCAGCCGCGGUAAUACGUAGGAUCCAAGCGUUGUCCGGAUUUAUUGGGUUUAAAGGGUGCGCAGGCGGCCUGAUAAGUCAGUGGUGAAAGCCCGUUGCUUAACAACGGAACUGCCAUUGAUACUGUCGGGCUUGAGUACAGUUGAGGUUGGCGGAAUGUAUCAUGUAGCGGUGAAAUGCUUAGAUAUGAUACAGAACACCGAUUGCGAAGGCAGCUGACUAAGCUGUUACUGACGCUCAGGC
rnacentral:rRNA from 1 species